ensembl:lncRNA
GGUGAAUUGAGUCUUUAUGACAGAAGAGAGGUUCAUUUGAUCAUCAGAAAGGUGGUGAAUUGAGUCUUUAUGACAGAAGAGAGGUUCAUUUGAUCAUCAGAAAGGUGGUGAAUUGAGUCUUUAUGACAGAAGAGAGGUUCAUUUGAUCAUCAGAAAGGUGGUGAAUUGAGAUGAAAUAGCAGAAUGGGUGUUUUUUAUGAUGAGCUGCUGUUAGACAUAGUACUCCAAUACACCUGUCUGUAUCCAGCUGUUAACCAAUCAUAAACAUGUCUUUAAUAGGCCAAGUAAUGUUAUCUACCUUCUCUAAUAAUGUAUGACAGCGUGUAAACCAAUGCAGUAGUGUAGAGCUGUCCCUCUAACCUGUACAGUCUGUAUGAGGAAUGUCUCUAGAACCUUAUCAGUGGUCCUGGUCUUUGUAUUCAUGAUUACAUAUUGCUGUGUCACCAUGCCCAAAGGCUUAGUCAAACCAGACAGGCUGCACCAUCCUACACUCUUAUGGGUACAUACUACUGUACAUUCUCUAUCCGUCUGCCUGACUGAAAUGUUCACAUACAUAGUCCGUCUGUUGUUUUAGCCAAUAACUUGGCAGAACACUGAGGGGUUCAGUCAGCCAACCAAUGACUGAAGAAUGCAGGAUGCUGUCCUUGCUGGAAUGUUGUAGUAUAUGUCAUCAUAAGUUCAUGGGCAGAGUUUCUGUGUUCACUAUAGUUCUCAGUGAGAACGCCAUUUUAACCUUACAGGACACAGCAAGACUCCUCUUCGUCAUGUUCUUCUUCAUCCUCCUCCACUGCACCAUAUUGGUGACCUGCUGCUGGGCCCACAGACAGAACUACAGUUAUAUCUCUGACUCUGAGCCCCACCUGUGGGCUUAAGAGAGAGGAGAUGGACUUCUAACAACAACCUGGACCUCCAUGUUGCUUUGGGGCGGACUGACUCUGAGGCGUUGUGAGAGACAAUGGACAAUAAGCCCUCUAUGGCGUCCAUGUUGCUUUGGGGCGGACUGAGUGUGUGGGAAAAGUAUGCUAAUAUGGGCUUAUGCAGUCAGACAGGAACCUGUAGUUACCUAGAGACUGAGCUAGUCUAGGAACAGGAGAACGUGUUAAUGAAGUCUUGGGAGGGAGGGAUCAGGGUUAUUAUUAUUAUUAAGCCUUAAUAAAUCCACAGUAAUGAUGAUCAACCCAGUUCAUCCCUCUACUAGGCAUGUCAUCAUGUAACGCAUUCCUUCUAUACAGCAGGGGAAACAAACCCAGUCCUCCAGGGCCACUGGAAUGAUGCUCUCACUGUUGUACUCUACAGCAUACAGCUUCUGGUUAGAAAGAUGUAGGGUGAAACUAGGUGAGACAGCUGUUGUACUCUACAGCAUACAGCUUCUGGUUAGAAAGAUGUAGGGUGAAACUAGGUGAGACAGCUGUUGUACUCUACAGCAUAC